rnacentral:tRNA from 1 species
GGAGUGGUAGUUAAGUUGGUUAGAAUACCGGCCUGUCACGCCGGGGGUCGCGGGUUCGAGUCCCGUCCACUCCGCCA